rnacentral:rRNA from 1 species
UACGUAGGGUGCAAGCGUUGUCCGGAAUUAUUGGGCGUAAAGAGCUCGUAGGCGGUUUGUCGCGUCGGGAGUGAAAACACGGGGCUUAACCCCGUGCCUGCUUCCGAUACGGGCAGACUAGAGGUAUGCAGGGGAGAGCGGAACUCCUGGUGUAGCGGUGGAAUGCGCAGAUAUCAGGAAGAACACCGGUGGCGAAGGCGGCUCUCUGGGCCUUACCUGACGCUGAGGAGCGAAAGCGUGGGUAGCGAACAGG